CCCAAUCCCAUUUCUAGCCCUUACCCUUCCCCCUUCCCCUUGCCCCUCAAUACAGAGGGGUAAAACGUUCCCCUAAGAAAUGGGACGCCCCUCCAUUACGUGGCUUCAUCGUCGCUGACUGCUAUGUCAACAGAAGCCACGAGUAGGCAUGUUUCAGAUCAAGCAUACGUUGCGUUGCGUUACCUCACAUAACAUAAUGAAUUAGUGGAUAAAAACGUCAGAAAUGCUGGCGUUAACUUCCCUAUGUGAUGCGACGCGUCACAUGGCUUUUAAAACUCGCUGGAUCUCCAUUGUAACUCCGUCCGUCUGCUUUUCUGUGCAUAUGCUCUUUCAAAUAAAUGCAGACAUAAGACACUCCCCUCAACAUAUCAAAACAUUUCCAUAGGAUAGGAUAGGAUAGGAUAGGAUUUUAUUUGUUGUCAUUGCACAUACACACAGGUACACACAGGUACACACAGGUACACACAGGUGCAACGCCAAACCACUCCCCAGGGAAACAAAAGGCAUGCCAUAGGGAACAACGAAACCAACUUACUUAGGAACCAAUAUUUGGUGGAGUUCACAUAAAAAAGGUAUGAACAAUGAUAAAAAAUAAAACAAAAUCAAAUUAAAUUUAGCUCGGCUACACACACACACACACACACACACACACACACACCAAAAUAUAAAUUACAACAAAAACAAUGGUCUCGUUUGGUUGAUACAUUCAUUAGGCAAUUGGUAUAAUGACACAGACAUUCAGUGGGCUAUUGAGCUCAACACAGAAAUACCAAAGUAGAAAACAGACGCAAGAAUGAAAAGAUUGAACAACGUAAGACUCAUUCCCACUGUUUUCUGGCGAUCAUUUCCGAUUUUAGGAACUCCUUGUCCCUGGUCCCCCUGAAAUGAAUGAGCCGUCUGGUCUCCUGUGGUGUCCCUGAGGUAAAGGUGGAAAGGAAAUCUUCAGUUUGACAGGCGAGUGACGUAGCCUAGGUGGCAGCUUUACCGAUAUCAAAGCAGUGCGCCGGUAUAAUCAACCAAGGAAUAGUAGUAGUAAGCAUAUCCACUGCACACAAAUGUUACUUGAAACCUUAACAUGUCAUGUCAAGGGUUAUCAUCUAUCUCAACAAAUAGCGAUAGCGGAACACAUUAGCAUCGGCUUCUAGUGAUUCAAAACAAACUUGACUAGUGAAUCAAAACAAACUUGACUAGUGAUUCAAAACUAACUUCACAAUUAAAAACCGCUCGAAAAUAGUAUUAUUACACCAGUCUGCCGUAAUUAAAGUGCUGAAAAUACUUACAUGUGUGCGUGUCCUUCGCUUGAACCAUCGCUGCUGUUUGUUUAUUUGGCGAUUUCGGUUGGCCACUGAGAGAGCGCUAAAAUCUUGUAUAGUUCAACGGUUGCUUACCGUUAUGUCAU
ensembl:lncRNA